UCUCUGCUGCAGAGGAUUUUUUUCUAUAGAAAAAAAUUUUCUAUAGAAAAAAAUCCUCUGCAGCAGAGG
rnacentral:pre_miRNA from 1 species